AUUUCAAUGGCUAUUUUUAGGAUUAUUUUGGAUCUUGAUAUUCUGGGGUUUUUUAAUAUUCUUUUUGGGUUUUUUAAUAUUCUAUUCCUCUGUUUGCUCUCGUGUUUUGCAAUUCUUUGUUUCAGUCUGUAAGGACAGACUAUGAUCAAUGCAACGUUUGACUUAGGAUGACAAAGUGUCAGCAGGAAAGCAGGCCAGGUAGUCCCUGUUUCCUGAAGAGGGAGCACCUGGAGGAGGAGGAGCAGGACCGAUGCCACCCUUUUACAAGAGGAGGAGAGAGCAGGAGUCUGUAAGGACAGACUAUGAUCAAUGCCAUGUUGGACUUAGGAUGACAAAGUGGCAGCAGGAAAGCAGGCCAGGUAGUCCCUGUUUCCUGAAGAGGGAGCACCUGAAGGAGGAGGAGCAGGACCGAUGCCACCCUUUUAAAAGAGGAGGAGCGAGCAGGAGUCUGUAAGGAUAGAGUUUGAUCAAUGCCACGUUUGACUUAGGAUGACAAAGUGGCAGCAGGAAAGCAGGCCAGGUAGUCCCUGUUUCCUGAAGAGGGAGCACCUAAAGGAGGAGGAGCAGGACCGAUGACACCCUUUUAAAAGAGGAGGAGCGAGCAGGAGUCUGUAAGCACAGACUAUGAUCA